UUUCAUUAUAAUGCUUGUCUAACAGGGCACAAUAUCCAAAUCCAAUAUCAUCCCUCUGGUCUAACCCAUUCCCAAAUCCAAACUUGAAACCAUCUGCGACUUGGAUUCUCUCUCUAGUCUCUGAGUCUCUCGCCUCGAGCUCUCGACGCCUUCUAUCGGUGAUUCAGCAGAAGAAGAAGGUGAAGAAGCCAGAAGGUCUCUCGUUUCUCAGCCUCUUUCUCAAGGUCUCUCGCCUUCACUACCUUCAGUUACUUUUAAGGGCAAGUACGGAGUAUUCUUUUCUUUUUAUUUGUUAUUUUGAUUUGUUUAAUGUUUGAAUAUUGUGAUUUUGCUUUUAAUCGAGUGCGUGCCAGAUGCUUGUUAUUAUGUGUGUUUGAGUAAUGUGAAUGUAUUUUGUAAUAAUGCUACUUUCUAUUAACUUGUUAGUGCAGACUUGCAGUUGAGGGUAGAUAGAAUUGAGAGUAGAUUUUGCUUAAUUUUACUUGAUAGGUUCAUUUGGGCUUAACUUGAUUUUGCUUCCACUAACUUGAUUUGGAUCCUCUGUUAAUAAUGGGAGAAAGUUUUGUAUGGAGGCUGUUUUCUGAUUUCAUUUGUUUUGUUGGAAUCUCUGGAUCUAACUAAAUAACAAUUCUCUCCCAUACGACCCUCAUCAGUUCCUCACAGUAAACAAUUUUGAAAUGCUUGCCAGUGCCCAUCAUCAUUUUCUUUUCUAAAAUCAGAGACUUCUUCAUUUAAAUUGGAUUCAUCCUUUGAUUUCAAACAGCUUCCUUUUCUGGUAGAAUGUCUCAAACUCGUCUUUUGCAUUACAUCUUGACCAUCAGCCUCAAGCUCUUCAUUAAAUCUAUGGCCAAAAACUCAAAGUUCGGUGUUGAUUAAAUUCUGUCCGCACCUAACAAUAUUCCUGGCUUUGCCCAUGUAGAGCUUCUAGCUCUAUCUUUUCUUUCUUUUUUUUUCCCCUCCAAUUUUAUGUUUGCGAUUUUCGCCCAUGUUUGUCCCUCAAAUCAAUUUUCAGAUUCUAUUACUGUUGUAUGGAGAAGUAUCUUGCCUUUCCAUUAGCUAUGAAGACAGCUUCAAAAGAAUCAGUAGUCCAAUAAUGGUUACGAUUGGAAUGGUUUCCCAUUAAUGUACGACAUUAUUACUUAUUUAACAAAGUUUUGUUUUACAUGAAGUUUAUAAUUUCUCUAUUUGUGGGUUAUUUAUUUAUUUAUUUAUCUUGCUGAGUGUUAAUUCUGAACAGUAAAAGACUGAACUAAAAACAUGGCAAUUUUGAGUAUGUUACAACAAUAGGAUAAAGUUCAAAGUGUUGUACAUAUAAAUUUCUUGCUUACUCAUCUUAGAAUUUACUUAUGUAGUUCCAUCAGAAUAAUUGUUAAUAGUAGCAACAGCUAAUUUAUCAGGUCCCGUUUCAUCAACUUCAUACCAAUUUUUGCUUGUGGUAUAGGAGUACUUCCCUUUCAAUGUCCUUAACAAACAUAUAUCUUGUGGUAAGGAGUAAAUCCCUUUCAAAAUCCUCAACUCGAAAUCAACUUUUAUACUUGUAAAUAGGUUAGGUAGAAUUUCCUCAGUUUGGAUACAUCGAACAUCCAGUGUCCGUUUAUUUACCCAUGGCAAUUAAGAGAAGGAAAUUAUGGGAAUAGAACCUUAUUAAGUCAAUAUAUUUACUUUUAAAAAUGUCAUCUCUGUUUGACUCUGUUGGAAAAGGAAAAUUUAUUAACCAUUGCAUUUUUGUGUAUCAGUGCAGAGGAUUUUAGUCAACAAGUUUUCACAAUGAUGUAUGGAAUCAAUUCUGGUGACACAUUUUAGUGGAAAUUUAUUAUAGAUGUUAGUGGAAAAUAUGGAAAUUCCGGCAUUAAUUACGUGUACAUCAUGUUAUUAGCUCUUGUGCUUAAAAUUUCUGGAUCCACACCUUGUUGCAAUCGUUAUAGAUGUAGAGUGUCUUAUAAUUUUACUUAUAUGCACACCCAAACAAUACACUCCAGCAGGCUUGACAAUAAAUUGCGAUUUUAGUUCAUAGCACGACUGCAGAUUUCUGUAGGAAAAGCUACAGUAGAAAACCCUUAGCCUCUCUCUCUUUACUCAUCCUUUGCAAGGCAGUUCUUUUUCGGGCUUUGGGGUUUCCAGCAACGGCCAUACCCACCAGGGAGGCCUAUAGAUGUUGCUCAGGCUAUAGGGUACAAAAAACUUGAGAAGCGGUAUUAUGAUUGUAAGUUUUUGCAAAGCCUUCAUUCAUUUGCUCCAUAUUUUAAUAUUUUUCUUUUUUAAUAGUCUCUCUUUUAUUACUUCAUGUUUUUCUUUGAGUAGAAAUGUUCUUUUCACACGAUCAUAUUGACUUUUGGGCAAAUUUUUGGGUGUCAGACCCCUAAAUUUUAUUAAACUUUGUAAUUUAUUAACCAUUGCAUUUUUGUGUAUCAGUGCAGAGGAUUUUAGUCAACAAGUUUUCACAAUGAUGUAUGGAAUCAAUUCUGGUGACACAUUUUAGUGGAAAUUUAUUAUAGAUGUUAGUGGAAAAUAUGGAAAUUCCGGCAUUAAUUACGUGUACAUCAUGUUAUUAGCUCUUGUGCUUAAAAUUUCUGGAUCCACACCUUGUUGCAAUCGUUAUAGAUGUAGAGUGUCUUAUAAUUUUACUUAUAUGCACACCCAAACAAUACACUCCAGCAGGCUUGACAAUAAAUUGCGAUUUUAGUUCAUAGCACGACUGCAGAUUUCUGUAGGAAAAGCUACAGUAGAAAACCCUUAGCCUCUCUCUCUUUACUCAUCCUUUUCUCACCGUUCCGUCCUCCACUUUCCACACCCUUCUUUCAAACUCCCUCCCAAAAUCAAUCCAAUUUCAUUCUCUUGUUUAUCAAGUAUAUUUGCCCUUAUAUUUCACCCAUGACGUCAAUUAAUUUCAACUCAUUUAACGAAAACUGGUUCAGAAACCCACCAAAAAUCCCAUUCCAACCCAUAAAUCUUCUGCAGUCAUUCUUCAAACCUCACUCCAAGACCUCAAAUUUUGCUUCCAUUACAAAUCCUUUUUCCAAAAAACCCAAGAAUGAUCCAAAGAAACCCAAGAAGUACAGCCAAAUGCUGGAUCAAUUCUACUGGGAGUGCGAGAAUUUGCCGGACUACCGGCACACCCCAUGUCAUAUGUGAAUUUGUAAUGCUGUGAAGUUCAUUUUUGUAUCUACAUUUGAGUUUUGAUGUAUUAAUUGGUUAGAAUUUGUUU
rnacentral:lncRNA from 1 species